rnacentral:pre_miRNA from 1 species
AAGAUACUCCCUCCGUUCGGAAUUACUUGUCUCGGAUAUGGAUGUAUCUAGAACUAGUUCUAGAUACAUCCAUAUCCGAGACAAGUAAUUCCGAACGGAGGGAGUACAAU